CCUUAGCGCUACUUAAAAUACUGUAAUUCUCGGGGUACGAGCCAUAGGUUGGACCACUGUCAAUGACCCUCCAGAAUAUCUGAAAAAAACUCGAAACAUAGGGCAAACACUCGAACCUCGCAAUUUGUAAAGAUUCAGUGUGUUACAUAUAUAAAGUUGAAAACGUGGUAGUUAUAAUUAUAUGCAUCUUGUAUGGUUGAAUAUAAUAAAAAUAGAUUAAUUUUAUACAUGUUCCUGCAAACAUAGUGAACGACAAAUAUAUUUCUAUAAAGUUCAACUUUCAUAUGUUGUCCCUGUAAAAGUCCUAAUAUUUUCAAAUAUGUCCCUCUGGUUUGUUACUAUUAGAAAAUCGUUAGAGAACCAUUUAUAUUUUCAAUUUUGCCAUUACAAAUAUAUCCCUCCAAAAGCCAUACUAGUAUAAUAUAAGGUGUAAAAAUGUUAAAAACUAACUAUGAUUAAAUAUUUAACCUAUGGUUAACUAACUUUUUCUAACGGAUUAUAACGGUAGGGACAUAUUUGAAAAUAUCAGGACUUUUGUAGGGACAACAAAUGAAAGUUGAACUUUGUAGGGAUAUAUUUGCUAUUCACUAUGUUUGCAGGGACAUGUAUGAAAUUAACCCUAAUAAAAAAAUACUGUACUUAUAAAUAAUUUGUUUGACUGUGUACAAUUGAGAACUUGUAUAUACAAUUUUUUCA
rnacentral:lncRNA from 1 species